UGGAAUGCAGUGGCGCGAUCUCCACUCACGGCAAGCUCCGCCUCCUGGGUUCACUCCAUUCUCCUGCCUCAGCCUCCUGAGUAGCUGGGAGUACAGGCACCUGUCACCACGCCCGGCUAAUUGUUUUGUAUUUUUAGUAGAGGCGGGGUUUCACCUUGUUAGCCAGGAUGGUCUCGAUCACCUGACCUUGUGAUCCGCCCGCCUCGGCCUCCCAGUGUUGGGAUUACAGGCGUGAGCCACUGGGCCCUGCCUCCCCGCCCCCCGCCCCGAGACGGAGUCUCGCUCUGUCGCCCAGACUGGAGUGCAGUGGCAUGAUCUCGGCUCACUUCAACCUCUGCCUCCCAGAUUCAAGCAAUUCUCCUGCCUCAGCCUCUGGAAUGGUUGGGACUACAGGCAUGCACCACCACAUCCGGCUAAUUUUUUUUUUCUGUAUUUUUAGGCAGAGUGAAACCCUGUCUCAAAAAACAAAAUAAAACAAAACCUCACAAUAAUCCCUGGAGGUAGGUACUAUUAAAAUCACCUUCAUUUUACAGAUGUGGACACAGACACAGAGAAGUUAGGUGACUUUCUCAAGAUCACACAGCUAGGAAGUGCCACUUGAAUCCAGGCAGUAAUCCAAAAUCCAUGUUCUUAACCACUAACCACUGUGGUGUGCCGUUUCCCAAUUCUUUUCCUUUUUUUUUUUUUUUUUUUUUUUGAGACAGAGUUUUGCUCUGUUGCCCAGGCUGUAGUGCAAUGGCCCAAUCUCGGCUCACGGCAACCUCUGCCUCCCGGGUUCAAGCGAUUCUCCUGCCUCAGCCUCCCAAGUAGCUGGGAUUUUAGGCAAGCGCCACCACGCCCGGCUAAUUUUGUAUUUUUAGUAGAAACGGGGUUUCUCCAUGUUGGUCAGGCUGGUCUCAAACUCCCAACCUCAGAUGAUCCACCUGCCUCGGCCUCCCAAAGUGCUGGGAUUACAGGCGUGCACCGUACCCGGCCCUUUUUUAUUUUAUUUUAUUUUUUUUUUGAGACACUGCUUCGUUACCCAGGCUGCAUGCAGUGGUGUGAUCGACCUCCUGGGCUCAAUCCUGUGACCUUGGCUGGGAUUAGAGACUUGAGUCACCCCGCCUGGCCUCCCAGUCCUUCACUGUAGCAUUGUUCUCAGUUAAUUGUAUUGCCCUUUAGAUUGGUUAUCUCCACGGAUUGCGAGCAAUCAUGAAGACCUUAGUAUGAAUUAGCCAAUAUUUUCCCAUCACUGAACAAUAGCAAUUGUUGCUGUGGUUUAAAGGGACCCUGUAGAGCAGGAGUUAAAUAGUUGGGCUCUGGAGUCAUAAUGCCUGGGACUGAAGCCCAGCACCACCAUUUCCCAGCCAUGUGACUUUGAACAAGUGACAUCCCUAAUCUGGGCCUCUGUUUCCUCAUCUGCAAAGUACCCAUUUUCCAGAUGAGGAUACUGAGGCCUAACACACGCACACACAGGACUUUAGAACCUGGGUUUUGAGCGCAUACCGCCUCCACCAGGACAAGGAACCCAAACGAUACUUUGGGAGGCCGAGGCAGGUGGAUCACGAGGUCAGGAGUUCAAGACCAGCCUGGCCAAGGUGGUGAAACCCUGUCUUUACUAAAAAUACAAAAAUUAGCCAGGUGUGGUGGUGCACGCCUGUAAUCCCAGCUAUUCGGGAGGCUGAGGCAGAAGAAUCACUUGAACCCAGGAGGCAGAGGUUUCAGUGAACUGAGAUCUCGCCACUGCACUCCAGCCUGGGUGACAGAGCAAGACUCCAUCUCAAAAAAUAAAAUAAAAUAAAAUAAAAUAAAAUGUUGAAAUAUAGGCCAGGCCUAGUGGCUCACACCUGUAAACCCAGCACUUUGGGAGGCUGAGGUGGGCAGAUCACUUGAGGUCGGGAGUUCAAGACCAGCCUGGCCAACAUGGUGAAACCCCAUCUCUGCUAAAAAUACAAAAAGUAGCCAGGCAUAGUGGUGUGCCUGUAAUCCCAGCUACUUGAGAGGUUGAGGCAGGAGAAAUCACUUGAACUUGGGAGGUAGAGGCUGCAGUGAGCUGAGAUCACACCACUGCACUCCAGCCUGGAUGACAGAGCGAGACUCUGUCUCAAAAAAAAAAAAAAAAAAAAAAAAUACGGCUGGGCGCGGUGGCUCACACCUGUAAUCCCUGCACUUUGAGAGGCCGAGGCGGUCAGAUCACCUGAGGUCAGGAGUUCAAGACCAGCCUGACCAACAUGGUAAAACCCAUCUCUACUAAAAAUACAAAAAAUUAGCCGGGCAUGGUGGCGCAUGUCUGUAAUCUCAGCUACUCAGGAGGCUGAGGCAG
rnacentral:lncRNA from 10 species